UGAUAAUCUCACAGUUUUUUGAGUGACUUCUAAUUCAUGCAGUACUUAAAUCAGCUUUGACUAGAUGUUUUAAGAUAAUACAGGAUAAAGGAGAAAAUCAAAUAUGGAAUGACAGCUUAAAAAAAGCAGUCCUGUUAAAUGCAGGUACACCAAAAUGGGCAGCACUUUUUCAUAUUGCAAUUACUCUUUGCUGUGCACUGGAGUCUCCAUUCAGUAAACCCUUGUUGAAGAAUUGUGGAAGGUUUGACAGAUGAGUUGCUAAGAUAUGUAUUCGGGAGAAAGCAAGAAAAUUCAACGAGAAGUUCUGGGAGUCAACAGUACUUUUGAAGGGACAGCCAGAGAAGAUGCCUCUCUUUGUCAAGGCCAUGAAGAGACCAGCAGAUUUGUUUCAAGCAUGCAUCUGCCUGGGGAGACAUGUUGCAACUCUGAAAGGUUUGUUUCCUUUGGAGAUUUUGGAGAUUCAAGCUUUGUGAAGGACCAGUGUGGUAGCAGGUAG
rnacentral:lncRNA from 1 species